GCGACUACUAGCGCUAGACCGCCUCGGCGGGUAUCCACGGAACUAAAGCAAUCUAGAAAGUUGUAAGUACUUAGGAAGAAUGCAGUGAGCAGCGAUCGUAAACGUGGUGUUUUUCUCCUUCGUCUGUUUUGGUUCGUGUCCGAGAAUAGGUUUUGCCAAUUAAAAAAGUGAUAAGUUGAUGCGUGUGUCACCGUCCGUCACUUGUUUUUCGAGGAUUUCAUUAAGUUUUCGGUCGUGAAGUGUUGUGUGGAGGUGUAAUUCCGCCUUCAAGUGAUAUGUUCCGUUGGUGAUUUGUAUUCAACUGCGGUACUUAAUCGGCUAUGCUUUCAUGGAUUACACUGAAAUGACCGCUCUUGGUCGAAAACCACUGGGUUAGUGGGAUAGGAAGAAUAUGCCCGUUCUCGAAGAAUGUCCAGUAAAUC